rnacentral:lncRNA from 1 species
GUCACAUGGUCCUAGAGUGUUCACAUGGUUCUAGAGUGUUCAAGUGGUUCUAGAGUGUUCACGUGGUUCUAGAGCGGUCAGGUGGUUCUAGAGUGUGCACAUGGUUCUAGAGUGUUCAGGUGGUUCUAGGGUGUUCAGGUGGUUCUAGGGUGUUCAGGUGGUUCUAGAGUGUUCAGGUGGUUCUAGAGUGUGCACAUGGUUCUAGAGUGUUCAGGUGGUUCUAGAGUGUUCACAUGGUUGUAGAUUCUAGAAUGGUCAUGUAGGCUCUACUGUAGUGUUUCAGACACUUUAUACAUACAGGCCUGGUUAACAUACAGAUAAUCAACCCUCAUCAGAUAACACAUACAACUAAUAACAAUCAAUAGCACAUUGACAGACAGUGUUGUGGUCAUGUCUAGUAUCUAUCCAAUCUAUCUAGACACCAUUUGGCUUUGAUUUAUUAGUUUGAACCAUCGCAAGCCUUUCUGUUGCUUUUUCAGUCUACCUCAGUGUGCUCGAGCCCUGAGCGCUUGUGUCCACCACCCACCCACCCAUCCACCCACUCACCCACCCACCCAGCCACCCACCCAGCCACCCACCCAGCCACCCAGCCACCCAGCCACCCACCCAGCCACCCACUCACCCAGCCACCCAGCCACCCACCCAGCCAUCCACCCACCCAUGUCUCCCUGCCUGCCUGCCUGCCUGCCUGCCUGCCUGCCUGCCUGCCUGCCUGCCUGUCUGUCUGUCUGUCUGUCUGUCUGUCUGUCUGGCUGGCUGGCUGGCUGGCUGGCUGCCCGUCUGCCUGUCUGUUUGUCUGCCUGUGUCUGUUUGUCUGUCUGUCUGCACAGAGCUACUCAGCAUUCAUCUCAACAUUAUUAUCUGCAAAGUGCAUUAGUCACUUUGCAUGCAAGCAAAAUGGCUGCCCUCCGCUUCUGUUUUGGAGGGCGAGAGAGAGAGAGAGAGAGAGCAUAGGAGAGAUGGAAAGAGGUAGAGAGGGAGUGAGGGAGUGAAGCACGACAGAGUGCCAGCCGGCCGGGAAGUAGGAAGGAAAAGGGAGAGGAAAUUAAUGUUAUGUUGUAACAUUUCAUAUUUCAGCUGGCCGUAGAGGCUUUCAGCUGGCUGUAGAGGCUUUCAGCUGGCCGUAGAGGCUUUCAGCUGGCUGUACAGGCUUUCAGCUGGCUGUAGAUUUCAGCUGGCCGUAGUGGCUUUCAGCUGGCUGUAGAGGCUUUCAGCUGGCCGUAGAGGCUUUCAGCUGGCCGUAGAGGCUUUCAGCUGGCCGUAGAGGCUUUCAGCUGGCCGUAGUGGCUUUCGGCUGGCUGUAGAGGCUUUCGGCUGGCUUUCGGCUGGCCGUAGAGGCUUUCAGCUGGCCGUAGAGGCUUUCAGCUGGCCGUAGAGGCUUUCAGCUGGCCGUAGAGGCUUUCAGCUGGCCGUAGAGGCUUUCAGCUGGCCGUAGAGGCUUUCGGCUGGCUUUCAGCUGGCCGUAGAGGCUUUCAGCUGGCCGUAGAGGCUUUCAGCUGGCCGUAGAGGCUUUCAGCUGGCCGUAGAGGCUUUCAGCUGGCCAUAGAGGCUUUCAGCUGGCCGUAGAGGCUUUCAGCUGGCUGUAGAGGCUUUCAGCUGCUGUUAGAGGCUUUCCUGCUAAGAUGUGUGUGUGACACCUGCUCUUGAUAAUAUGGAUGAUGCAAGAGAAACAAAACCCACACAUGCCAACUUGCCUUUGGCUUGACAGACUCAAAAGAGGCACUUGAAGACUGUAUGUUUUGAUUGGCUGGUUUUCAGACCUUUAAUGAUACAAAAAAAAUUGAUUGUGCACUUAAUUGAAAGUAUUCUUUUGAACAGGUUUCCAUGUUGGGAAAGUUCUACAUCAGU